rnacentral:rRNA from 1 species
GACGAACGCUGGCGGCGUGCUUAACACAUGCAAGUCGAACGGAAAGGCCCUGCUUUUGUGGGGUGCUCGAGUGGCGAACGGGUGAGUAACACGUGAGUAACCUGCCCUUGACUUUGGGAUAACUUCAGGAAACUGGGGCUAAUACCGGAUAGGAGCUCCUGCUGCAUGGUGGGGGUUGGAAAGUUUCGGCGGUUGGGGAUGGACUCGCGGCUUAUCAGCUUGUUGGUGGGGUAGUGGCUUACCAAGGCUUUGACGGGUAGCCGGCCUGAGAGGGUGACCGGCCACAUUGGGCCUGAGAUACGGCCCAGACUCCUACGGGGGGCAGGAGUGGGGAAUAUUGCACAAUGGGCGGAAGCCUGAUGCAGGAACGCCGCGUGCGGGAUGACGGCCUUCGGGCUGUAAACCGCUUUCGCCUGUGACGAAGCGUGAGUGACGGUAAUGGGUAAAGAAGCACCGGCUAACUACGUG